CCUACGGGAGGCAACAGUCGAGAAUCAUUCACAAUGGGGGAAACCCUGAUGGUGCGACGCCGCGUGGGGGAAUGAAGGUCUUCGGAUUGUAAACCCCUGUCAUGUGGGAGCAAAUUAAAAAGAUAGUACCACAAGAGGAAGAGACGGCUAACUCUGUGCCAGCAGCCGCGGUAAUACAGAGGUCUCAAGCGUUGUUCGGAAUCACUGGGCGUAAAGCGUGCGUAGGCUGUUUCGUAAGUCGUGUGUGAAAGGCGCGGGCUCAACCCGCGGACGGCACAUGAUACUGCGAGACUAGAGUAAGGGAGGGGGAACCGGAAUUCUCGGUGUAGCAGUGAAAUGCGUAGAUAUCGAGAGGAACACUCGUGGCGAAGGCGGGUUCCUGGACAUUAACUGACGCUGAGGCACGAAGGCCAGGGGAGCGAAAGGGAUUAGAUACCCGGGUAGUC
rnacentral:rRNA from 1 species